UACGUAGGGUGCAAGCGUUAAUCGGAAUUACUGGGCGUAAAGCGUGCGCAGGCGGCUUUGCAAGACAGAUGUGAAAUCCCCGGGCUCAACCUGGGAACUGCAUUUGUGACUGCAAGGCUGGAGUACGGCAGAGGGGGAUGGGAUUCCGCGUGUAGCAGUGAAAUGCGCAGAUAUCAGGAGGAACACCGAUGGCGAAGGCAGUGUUCUGGGCCAGUACUGACGCUGAGGAGCGAAAGCGUGGGGAGCAAACAGG
rnacentral:rRNA from 1 species